rnacentral:rRNA from 1 species
ACCCUACGGGGGGCAGCAGUGAGGAAUAUUGGUCAAUGGGGGAAACCCUGAUGCAGCGACGCCGCGUGAGCGAAGAAGUAUUUCGGUAUGUAAAGCUCUAUCAGCAGGGAAGAAAGAAAUGACGGUACCUGAGUAAGAAGCCCCGGCUAACUACGUGCCAGCAGCCGCGGUAAUACGUAGGGGGCAAGCGUUAUCCGGAAUUACUGGGUGUAAAGGGAGCGUAGACGGCGAUGCAAGUCUGAAGUGAAAGCCCGGGGCUCAACCCCGGGACUGCUUUGGAAACUGUAUGGCUGGAGUGCUGGAGG